AUGGUUUUCCCAGGAAGGGGAAGGAUCCGUGUCGAUGCUGACAGUGUUCAGAGGAUCACUACAUUGCUCAAGAUGAUUGAGCAUAUGGCUGGAAGAACGGAUGACACAUUCUUUAUGGCCUGGCUUGCGGUUGCCUUCAGCACUUUUCUAGCACCAACCACGGCCUUGAAGCUCAGCCCAAAGUGUUAUGGACUUGUGCUAGAUCAUCAAAUGCUAAAGAAUACAAACAUCUGCCUCUUUGUAGCAGAACACAUUAACGAAGCUUUCCGGAACAUGGACCAGGAGAAGCAAACUGCCUGCUGCUGCUUGUAUCACUUGAUGAUACUAUACCUUGAUGCGCUCGUACAUGACAUCACAGUAAGCAACUGCGCGAUACGAUCGAAUGCAUGGGAUAGUACUCUAAUUGCCAAGGUGAUCAAGAAGGAUACUAUCUCUCCUGGUGUGUUCGGCAAAUUACAAAGGGGUAUAGAGGCACGGAGCAGACACCACUGUUUGGUGGAAUUUUGCAAGGUGAAACAUUUGUGGCAUCCAAGUUACCAAUAA
rnacentral:rRNA from 1 species